rnacentral:rRNA from 1 species
CCUGCUCAAUGAAUAUUAAAUAGCCGCUUUAUUAGUGCUAAGGUAGCAUAAUCACUUGUCUUUUAAUUUAAGAAUAGAAUGAAAGGAUAAACGAGUUAAAAACUUUAUUUAAUUUAAUUUAUUAAACUUAUUUAAAAGUAAAAAAGCUUUUUUAAUUUGAUAAGACGACAAGACCCUUUAGAACUUCACUAAAAGUUUAGCUGGGGUGGCUACAAAUCUUUUUUAUAAAAACUUUUCACCUUAUUUAUAUACCCAAUACAAGUUUAUAAUAAGUUACCUAAGGGAUAACAGUAUAAUAUUAUUACAAAGCACUUAUAAAAAAUAAUGAUUAUAACCUCGAUGUUGAAUUACUUUCCUUUUAAAAGAAAAUUCUUAAAAAGUAAGUCUGUUCGACUUUUAAUAAAGUACAU